CGGGGUGCAGCAGGCGCGAAAACUUCACAAUGGGGGCAACCCCGAUGAGGGAAUUCCAAGUGCUAGCACUUUUUGUGUUAGCUGUUCUUUUGUCUAAAAAACAAGAGAAGUAAGGGCCGGGUAAGACGGGUGCCAGCCGCCGCGGUAAUACCCGCGGCCCGAGUGGUGGUCGAUAUUAUUGAGCCUAAAACGUUCGUAGCCGGUCUUGUAAAUCCUUGGGUAAAUCGGCCAGCUUAACUGUCCGAAGUCCGGGGAGACUGCAAGACUUGGGAUCGGGAGAGGUCAGAGGUACUUCUGGGGUAGGGGUAAAAUCCUGUAAUCCUAGAAGGACCACCGGAGGCGAAGGCGUCUGACUAGAACGAAUUCGACGGUGAGGAACGAAGCCCUGGGGCGCAAACGGGAUUAGAUACCCCGGUAGUCCAGGGUGUAAACGCUGCGGGCUUGGUGUUGGGGGUCCUUAGUGGGCGCCCAGUGCCGGAGAGAAGUUGUUAAGCCUGCUGCUUGGGGAGUACGUCCGCAAGGAUGAAACUUAAAGGAAUUGGCGGGGGAGCAC
rnacentral:rRNA from 1 species